rnacentral:misc_RNA from 1 species
CUGAGUCUCUUUAAGUCACAUGACUCUUCAAUUGCACAAAUUUUUGCUUCAAACUUGUUUGGCAAAGAAAUCAUAAUCUCCUCCACAACUUUUCCAUCUGGAAAAUCUUCUCUAAAAAGCCUUAUUUGAUUCACAAUUUCCAUUAGUUUGGCAGAAGUUUUUGACAGAUUCAUCAUCCUUCAUUUUGAGCAUCUCGAAUUCUCUUUUAAGGGUGAGCAAUCUGACUGAUCUCACCCUCUCACUCCUUUGGAACUCUUUUUUAAGCUUGUCCCAAGCUUCGUUGGCUGUUUGGGCACCAACUAUUCUUGGAAAGAUAGAAUCUGAAAC